UCCUGGAUUGGCCACCAGGUGACAGCCUGCCUGUGGCCAUCAGACCAGAAUGUUCCCUUCCAUGACCAGGUCUCAUGGGGAGGUUGUAAAGGUGGACUCGGAGGGCCGUUAAAAGCACGUUAGAAACCGAGAGAAGACGGUUCCCUGCACAGGCUCGCACAGCGCACACACGGGACCGCCUGCUCCUCAGGUGCCUGGAGCAAGGAGACCCUCCCUCCCCAGCAUGGGGAGCCUCUUGCAUAAACCCACAAAAGGCCUCGUAGAUAAUCUCACGUGUCUGGACGUGGGACUCCUCACGCGUGUGUACCAGGCUCGCCGAAAUUCACUGGGAAGGCCCCGGAGGAGGAAGAGGAUAUCAGCAGCAAGAGAAGAGAAUCCCUCUUCUUUAUGGACCCUACCUUCUGUUGGGAUGGCAGACAUGAUAAAGGAACAAGAUAAAUAAGGCACGUAUAAUGCACAUUAGAGAGUGACACAUGUUGAGAAAAAUAUUAAAUUGGGAGGGAGGUGGGAAAUAGGGUUGGAGCCCUUGUGUAUCCGUCAGCUGUUGCUAUGGUGAUGCUACGUAACAAACAUCCCAAACCUCAGUCGCUUGCAAACUCUGACAUUUAUUUCUCGCUCAGGGGUUCUGCUUCAGACCUCGGGAUGGGUUUAGGUCUCCACCUGUGUCUCUGCCAGUGCUCAGACUGAGGGCAGCGUCUGCUGGGCAUUCGCUUCUUGCGGUGCAGGGUCGAACCCCCCA
ensembl:lncRNA